AUUGAACGCUGGCGGCAGGCCUAACACAUGCAAGUCGAACGAGUGGCGGACUGGUGAGUAAUGUCUGGGCAACUGCCUGAUGGAGGGGGAUAACUACUGGAACAGGUAGCUAAUACCGCAUACCAUCAGAUGUGCCCAGGUGGGAUUAGCUGGUUGGGGGGGUAACGGCUCACCAAGGCGACGAUCCCUAGCUGGUCCGAGAGGAUGACCAGCCACACUGGAACUGAGACACGGCCCAGACUCCUACGGGAGGCAGCAGUAGGGAAUAUUGGACAAUGGGCGCAAGCCUGAUGCAGCCAUGCCGCGUGUAUGAAGAAGGCCUUCGGGUUGUAAAGUACUUUCAGCGGGGAGGCGUUACCCGCAGAAGAAGCACCGGCUAACUCCGUGCCAGCAGCCGCGGUAAUAC
rnacentral:rRNA from 1 species